rnacentral:tRNA from 1 species
GUUUUAGUAGUUUAAACAAAACACUGGUCUUGUAAACCAGAAAUGGGAUAAUCCCUAAAUCAU